CUGCCCAUCAGAAGGGGAUAACACUUGGAAACAGGUGCUAAUACCGUAUAACACUAUUUUCCGCAUGGAAGAAAGUUGAAAGGCGCUUUUGCGUCACUGAUGGAUGGACCCGCGGUGCAUUAGCUAGUUGGUGAGGUAACGGCUCACCAAGGCCACGAUGCAUAGCCGACCUGAGAGGGUGAUCGGCCACACUGGGACUGAGACACGGCCCAGACUCCUACGGGAGGCAGCAGUAGGGAAUCUUCGGCAAUGGACGAAAGUCUGACCGAGCAACGCCGCGUGAGUGAAGAAGGUUUUCGGAUCGUAAAACUCUGUUGUUAGAGAAGAACAAGGAUGAGAGUAGAACGUUCAUCCCUUGACGGUAUCUAACCAGAAAGCCACGGCUAACUACGCGCCAGCAGCCGCGGUAAUGCGUAGGUGGCAAGCGUUGUCCGGAUUUAUUGGGCGUAAAGCGAGCGCAGGCGGUUUCUUAAGUCUGAUGUGAAAGCCCCCGGCUCAACCGGGGAGGGUCAUUGGAAACUGGGAGACUUGAGUGCAGAAGAGGAGAGUGGAAUUCCAUGUGUAGCGGUGAAAUGCGUAGAUAUAUGGAGGAACACCAGUGGCGAAGGCGGCUCUCUGGUCUGUAACUGACGCUGAGGCUCGAAAGCGUGGGGAGCGAACAGGAUUAGAUACCCUGGUAGUCCACGCCGUAAAC
rnacentral:rRNA from 1 species